UGUUUGAACUUCCAUUUUAAGGGCCCCUUCACACAUAGUACGAAUAAGUACAAAUCAGGGCGAAUCACGGCGGAACAGUUUGUAUGAGCGAACCACAAAAACAUCAAGCCAACAGGCAGGUGUGAACGAUGC